AGAGCUGAGGAAGAAUUGGGAUUCUAUGCGAACCCAGUACACCCGGUACAGGAAACUAGUUGUGGAGCACAAAGGACUGACAGACAGCAGUGGAUCAUAACCAGGCUGCAGUUUUUAGAGCCCUACACAAGAAGGAAGGAGAGUACUUCGAACCUCACCAUCACGAAUCAACCCCCGGUGGCACCAGCAGUGAAACCUCGACCAGCACCACCAAGGAGUCCUUCCACUUUGAUGCUGAGCCCUGCACUCCCCUGGCAGAAUCCACCAUCUGCACCACACCGGCACCGCGGCUCGGAGAGAGGCCAAGCACACUCAGCACUCGAAGGCCUCCGGCGAAGCGCAGGAUGAUGAUACUAAAUGAGAUGCUGUCUACCGCUGUUCAUUGUUCAAGAUUGAAAUGUAAAUGUGCAAGCCGUUUUUCUGCCACUCUAUUCACACGUAUUUCAUAGGUGAUGGUUUCUUCAUUCUCUAACUGUUGUGGAGCAGAACUAUACAGUUGCAGGAUUAGUCUCAAGUACCUCAAUAUAAUUAUAGUAUGUCUGCACUUUAUGUGCUCAUUUCAUCAUUCAGUCAUGUAUUUUAUAUUCUACUAAAACUGAAUCAAACCAUAAACAAGGUGGCCUGUUGGAAUUACUAUAUAUAUAUAUAUAUAUAAUAUAUCUGCAUUAUUUUAUCCCACUUUAUGCUUUGCUCUUGCUGCUUGUUUUACACUGAUUUGAUAUCUUAUUUCUUACUGAUGUAAAGCACUAUGAACUGCAAUCCCCUGUAUGAAAGGUACUAUACAAAUAAAGUUAUUAUUAUUC